rnacentral:misc_RNA from 1 species
GAGGAAGCAGGUUGGCGUCGAUAACGGGGAAGACGCAGACCACCAUUGUCGUUGCCUUGGGAAGAAGAGAAAGCGGUUAAUAGUUGCAGCCAUUUUGAGGAAGAGGUGGAUAUUCCAUCACCAUCGGAGAGAGAAAUGGGUUAUGUUCAUCAUUGGAAAAAAGGAAGUUGGCACCAGAUUAGGAAGAAAAAUAGGUUGAAGAAAUGGAACCAGGUUGUCG